rnacentral:rRNA from 1 species
GACGAACCGUGCGAACGUUAUUCGGAAUCACUGGGCUUAAAGGGCGCGUAGGCGGGCCAAAAAGCCAAGGGUGAAAGCCUCCAGCUCAACUGGAGAAGCGCCUUUGGAACUGGUGGCCUAGAGGGGUGCAGGGGCAUGCGGAACUCAGGGUGGAGCGGUGAAAUGCGUAGAUAUCCUGAGGAACACCGGUGGCGAAAGCGGCGUGCUGGACACCUUCUGACGCUGAGGCGCGAAAGCCAGGGGAGCGAACGGG